UGGGGAAUAUUGCGCGAUGGGCGAAAGCCUGACGCAGCGACGCCGCGUGAGGGAUGAAGGUUUUCGGAUCGUAAACCUCCGUCAGAAGGGAAGAAACCGCACUGUGCUAAUCAGCAGUGCCUUGACGGUACCUUCAAAGGAAGCACCGGCUAACUCCGUGCCAGCAGCCGCGGUAAUACGGAGGGUGCAAGCGUUAAUCGGAAUUACUGGGCGUAAAGCGCACGUAGGCUGCUUUGUAAGUCAGGGGUGAAAUCCCACGGCUCAACCGUGGAACUGCCUUUGAUACUGCUUAGCUUGAAUCCGGGAGAGGGUGGCGGAAUUCCAGGUGUAGGAGUGAAAUCCGUAGAUAUCUGGAGGAACAUCAGUGGCGAAGGCGGCCACCUGGACCGGUAUUGACGCUGAGGUGCGAAAGCGUGGGGAGCAAACAGG
rnacentral:rRNA from 1 species